CCCCGAGCAAUUCUACACGCCAUACGGCUCAGAAUUCCAGAAUGCGCGAGAGAACAGAUAUGGUCUGCCACAAAAGUCUUACGCUCCAACACCAACAAAUAUGAUGCAAGGUCAGACUCAAAUAAUGUCUGGUAUCGAUCCUAACUACUUGGCAGCGUAUUCAAGCUCCAACGCUCAAUAUACGGCAGGGCAUCAACAUAUGCAAAGAGAGGUGCAAAUGGAAAGGCAAAUGCAAUUCCGACCGGAGCCGGCGUUCGGAAGCGACUAUCAGAAUCGCAACUUGACUGGCGUCGAGAGGAAUAAAAGUUUCGCACAAACUCGUUGCGG